rnacentral:rRNA from 1 species
GAUGAACGCUGGCGGCGUGCCUAAUACAUGCGAGUCGAGCGAACAGAUGAGGAGCUUGCUCCUCUGACGUUAGCGGCGGACGGGUGAGUAACACGUGGAUAACCUACCUAUAAGACUGGGAUAACUUCGGGAAACCGGAGCUAAUACCGGAUAAUAUAUUGAACCGCAUGGUUCAAUAGUGAAAGACGGUUUUGCCGUCACUUAUAGAUGGAUCCGCGCCGCAUUAGCUAGUUGGUAAGGUAACGGCUUACCAAGGCAACGAUGCGUAGCCGACCUGAGAGGGUGAUCGGCCACACUGGAACUGAGACACGGUCCAGACUCCUACGGGAGGCAGCAGUAGGGAAUCUUCCGCAAUGGGCGAAAGCCUGACGGAGCAACGCCGCGUGAGUGAUGAAGGUCUUCGGAUCGUAAAACUCUGUUAUUAGGGAAGAACAAAUGUGUAAGUAACUAUGCACGUCUUGACGGUACCUAAUCAGAAAGCCACGGCUAACUACGUG